GCCGUGCAUGGUGGUGCAUGCCUGUAGUCCUAGCUACUCAGGAGGCUGAGGCAGGAGGAUCACUUGAGCCCAGGAUUUCCAGGCUGCAGUGAGCUAUGAUCAUACCAUGCACUCCAGCCUGGGCGACAGAGUUAGACCCUGUCUCUA
rnacentral:SRP_RNA from 2 species